AACGAACGCUGGCGGCAGGCUUAACACAUGCAAGUCGAACGCAUCCUUCGGGGUGAGUGGCAGACGGGUGAGUAACGCGUGGGAACGUGCCCUUCAGUUCGGGAUAACCCAGGGAAACUUGGGCUAAUACCGGAUACGUGCGAGAGCAGAAAGAUUUAUCGCUGAAGGAUCGGCCCGCGUCUGAUUAGCUAGUUGGUGGGGCAAUGGCCCACCGAGGCGACGAUCAGUAGCGGGUCUGAGAGGAUGAUCAGCCACAUUGGGACUGAGACACGGCCCAAACUCCUACGGGAGGCAGCAGUGGGGAAUAUUGGACAAUGGGCGCAAGCCUGAUCCAGCCAUGCCGCGUGAGUGAUGAAGGCCUUAGGGUUGUAAAGCUCUUUCGUCCGGGACGAUAAUGACGGUACCGGAAGAAGAAGCCCCGGCUAACUUCGUGCCAGCCGCCGCCGUAA
rnacentral:rRNA from 1 species